UCUGUGGGCUGAAUUAGUGAUCGGCUCACAGUCCAUUAAACUCAGGAGUACACUAUGUCACUAAAUGCUGAAACUAAAGCCAAGAUCGUUGCUGAUUUCUCUCGCGGUACC
rfam:Tolumonas auensis DSM 9187, complete genome.